AGCCCAUGCUUAAUCCACUGAGCCACACCAGCCAGGGCUUAAGCUGUAAUCUGCAUUUUCUUUCCCCCCCAGGUUUUUAAACUUUUAUUUUUUAAUUACAGUUGACAGACAAUGUUAUACUAGUUUUCGGGUGCACAACAUAGUGAUUAGACAUUUACGUACUGUUCUUAAUAUACCAACUCUGGCUUCUCAACACAGCCUCCCAAGACAUCGGAUAUGCACAUUAAAAUAUUUUCUUUAAUGUCCAGUUCUGAGACAUUUCAGUCCAUAAACAAACACUUAGCACUGAGCUGAGUGUCUGGGUAGUGGUGUUAACGGCUUAGUUCAUGGCAAGUGUGGGUGUAUGCAUGAGCAUAUUCAGCUUUCUUGUAUUUAUGAUUAAAAUUAAGACAUGCACACUGGAAAGCAAUCAGAUACUGAAAAUUUUAAAGUGAAGUUCCCCAUCUCUGGAGACAGCACUGUGAGAGCUUUGACAGAUAUUCUUAUUGAAAUUUUCCAUGCAGAUGCAGAAGUAUGUGUAAUUUUUAAAUAGGAGUCUUUAUAUAUAUAUUUCUAUGACUUGCUUUCCUUAAAAAUAUUUUUAUCCCAUUAUUUCCUUUAAUAAUAUGUCUUAGACAUGUUUCUCAUUAAUUUGCAACCCUUAAUAUGUCUGAGAGACAUUUCCACACUGAGAUAGAUAGAUAUAGGUAGGGAGUGCUCUCUUUAUAGUCACUAUAAUAUUUCAUGAUUUAGAUGAAACAUUUUUAAAACAUUAAAAGUGUGUGACACUGAAACUUAAAACCAAGGCACUAAAACAGGACUACAAGACUUUUGGUCAGAGUUACACAGAACAAAGCAGAGGCCAGCAAAUGUAUGUGUUGAUUUUCUAGCUUAAAUGAGUACUUAACCCUUUUUCCCUGUAGCUAUAGGUAUUAAUUAAUAUAAGUGGCAUAUUCUUUCUCUAAUUUCACUUGUAAAAAUGGAAGAACUUAAUCUAGUAUUGACAUUAAGCCUUUUUGAGGGUCUUUCACAGCUAGAACAGAGUUAGACCUUUGAAAGAUUUGAGUGAUUCCUUUUUCUAGAGCUUAUCAAGACUGAUGCAGGAGAGUCAGGAAGGCAGCCUUCUGUUCCUCUGGAUCUUCAGGAAGCCUUCAAAACAGAUUUCACAGCCCAGGCCAUGGUGGGUGUACUGGAGCGUGCUUAAACACAGCCAAGUAGAAAGCAGAAAGUAGAUGGGGUUUACACCACAGCUCUGACUUUGAUAGUGGCUGGCACAGCGUUCCGGCCUGAGCAUCAGUUAGCUCCCAUUGCUCAAGGCCACCGACCUGAGUGUUGGGGUCAUACCCCUGCGUAGUGCCUGCCCAGUGGCCAGCUCAGAUGAGUAAUAAUAGCUUCUGACUAAGAGGAACCAGCUUAAUUCAUCGGAGUGGCUGGUCAGGCCUUCCUAGUCUCUGAAGCCACCUGCCAGCUGAGGGUGGCCUUGAUGAGGAGGAGAAGGUAUAACCCUGAGGAGCUAGUGAGGCCACUCCCAGAGCCGCAGAGCCCCUGGCAGAGGGAUGGCGUGAGGCCUGGAACUGUCAGAGUAAAGUUUGCUCCAUCCACUGCCUGUGUGAGUUGCAUCUUCCUUGGCCACACUGCACCAGUGCCAGCUAACCACGGAGUUAGUUGGUUGAUAUCCAGGGACUGCUAGUCCCAUUGGCAGGUAUUGUUAUGCUAUUUGCAGUGGGACUCCCACUCCUCCCCUGGGGGUAGUAAUAGUUGUCACUUGGUUGACAAAGCAGUUCUGUGCUUGUUUGAUUUGCUAGCUGAACUAGACUCCUUCCCAGAAAAACACCUCUUUUACGUGAGUGACUGACAGUGUGAUUAUUUGGAUUUGGGAAUUUGUUAGACAUUUUCUACGAAAUGAACAAAGUGAGGUUGUCACUUCAAGGGAAACAACUGACAUUAUUUAUUGCUAAGAAUUUGUUCUUUCAAG